rnacentral:rRNA from 1 species
CCUACGGGUGGCAGCAGUCGAGAAUCAUUCACAAUGGGGGAAACGCUGAUGGUGCGACGCCGCGUGGGGGAAUGAAGGUCUUCGGAUUGUAAACCCCUGUCAUGUGGGAGCAAAUUAAAAAGAUAGUACCACAAGAGGAAGAGACGGAUAACUCUGUGCGAGCAGCCGCGGUAAUACAGAGGUCUCAAUCGUUGUUCGGAAUCACUGGGCGUAAAUCGUUCGGAUGCUGUUUCGUGAGUCGUGUGUGAAAGGCGCGGGCUCAACCCGCGGAGGGCCCCUGAUACUGCGAGACUAGAGUGAGGGAGGGGGAACCGGAAUUCUCGGUGUAGCAGUGAAAUGCGUAGAUAUCGAGAGGAACACUCGUGGCGAAGGCGGGUUCCUGGACAUUAACUGACGCUGAGGCACGAAGGCCAGGGGAGCGAAAGGGAUUAGAUACCCGAGUAGUC